rnacentral:rRNA from 1 species
UACGAAGGGUGCAAACGUUGCUCGGAAUUAUUGGGCGUAAAGCGCACGUAGGCGGUAUCGCAAGUCCCAUGUGAAAGCCCACGGCUUAACCGUGGAAGUGCAUGGGAAACUGCAGUACUUGAGUACUUAAGAGGAUCGCGGAAUUCCCGGUGUAGAGGUGAAAAUUCGUAGAUAUCUGGAGGAAUACCGGUGGCGAAGGCGGCAUCCUGGACCGGCAUUGACGCUGAGGAGCGAAAAGCUAGGGGGAGCAAACGGGG